CCCUUUGGGUGUGACUGCGUACCUUUUGUAUAAUGGGUCAGCGACUUAUAUUCUGUAGCAAGGUUAACCGAAUAGGGGAGCCGGAGGGAAACCGAGUCUUAAUUGGGCGUUAAGUUGCAGGGUAUAGACCCGAAACCCGGUGAUCUAGCCAUGGGCAGGUUGAAGGUUGGGUAACACUAACUGGAGGACCGAACCGACUAAUGUUGAAAAAUUAGCGGAUGACCUGUGGCUGGGGGUGAAAGGCCAAUCAAACCGGGAGAUAGCUGGUUCUCCCCGAAAGCUAUUUAGGUAGCGCCUCGUGAAUUCAUCUCCGGGGGUAGAGCACUGUUUCGGCUAGGGGGCCAUCCCGGCUUACCAACCCGAUGCAAACUGCGAAUACCGGAGAAUGUUAUCACGGGAGACACACGGCGGGUGCUAACGUCCGUCGUGAAGAGGGAAACAACCCAGACCGCCAGCUAAGGUCCCAAAGUCAUGGUUAAGUGGGAAACGAUGUGGGAAGGCCCAGACAGCCAGGAUGUUGGCUUAGAAGCAGCCAUCAUUUAAAGAAAGCGUAAUAGCUCACUGGUCGAGUCGGCCUGCGCGGAAGAUGUAACGGGGCUAAACCAUGCACCGAAGCUGCGGCAGCGACACUGUGUGUUGUUGGGUAGGGGAGCGUUCUGUAAGCCUGCGAAGGUGGCCUGUGAGGGUUGCUGGAGGUAUCAGAAGUGCGAAUGCUGACAUAAGUAACGAUAAAGCGGGUGAAAAGCCCGCUCGCCGGAAGACCAAGGGUUCCUGUCCAACGUUAAUCGGGGCAGGGUGAGUCGACCCCUAAGGCGAGGCCGAAAGGCGUAGUCGAUGGGAAACGGGUUAAUAUUCCCGUACUUGGUGUUACUGCGAAGGGGGGACGGAGAAGGCUAUGUUGGCCGGGCGACGGUU
rnacentral:rRNA from 1 species